rnacentral:rRNA from 1 species
AUUGAACGCUGGCGGCAGGCCUAACACAUGCAAGUCGAGCGGAUGAAGGGAGCUUGCUCCUGGAUUCAGCGGCGGACGGGUGAGUAAUUCCUAGGAAUCUGCCUGGUAGUUGGAGAUAACGUCCGGAAACGGGCGCUAAUACCGCAUACGUCCUUAGGGAGAAAGGGGGGGAUCUUCGGACCUCACGCUAUCAGAUGAGCCUAGGUCGGAUUAGCUAGUUGGUGGGGUAAAGGCCUACCAAGGCGACGAUCCGUAACUGGUCUGAGAGGAUGAUCAGUCACACUGGAACUGAGACACGGUCCAGACUCCUACGGGAGGCAGCAGUGGGGAAUAUUGGACAAUGGGCGAAAGCCUGAUCCAGCCAUGCCGCGUGUGUGAAGAAGGUCUUCGGAUUGUAAAGCACUUUAAGUUGGGAGGAAGGGCAGUAAGUUAAUACCUUGCUGUUUUGACGUUACCAACAGAAUAAGCACCGGCUAACUUCGUG